GAAUAGAAGUGCCACUCGAGUCGGAACCUUUGAUGUAAAUGGCGCCGCGCAUGUCGCCUCGCGCAUCUCGGCCGCCAUCUUCCCAGCAAGUAAAAAUGGAGGAUUUUAUAUAGAGUUAUUAGGGAGUUAACUGCAAAAAGUGGAUUUUCAGCGGCGAUUUCCUUCUAAAUUAUCAAAAAAUGAAUGAUUUGUUUAAAAAGAAGGUAUGCGGUCUUAUCUAGUCUUAUUUACAAAGAAUAUUUAAAGUUUUGAAGCUGUAAUUUAACAAUUUAGUGCGGUGUUUUUCGUGACCGAGAUACUAUUCAUAGUUAGAUUUGAGUUAUUUUUAUAUUUUUGUUCGUAUUGCUACAAAAUAUAUUCUUACAUGAAAAUUUUGUAUUGCUUUACUUAAUUUUGAAAGACAUCAUGUUAUGUCAUACCGUUUCUGGUUGGUAAUUUGCAUAUUAAAUCCAACUUAUCCGAGCACAAUUUCAAGAAAUACAAUAAUCAUAUGUAUUGUUGGAAAUAUGCAAUUGGCUGGCUGAAAGAGACUUAAAGGUGAUCUACAGUCCGUAUGUAAACAAAGCCUUUGUUUACAUUUUUGUGUCCAAAAUAUUGAGCUUUAUUCGACAACUAUUUAUAUUUUCAAGCUUCUAGAGUAUAAUAAAUAAUCAAGAAACAACAAUCAGGCUUUUCAAGAACUCAAAACAUAGUUAAAACUGUUUGUAUCAUAAAAAGUGGGCUCAUUUGUGCACAUGCGCAGAUCGGACUGUAGAUCACCUUUAAGUUGAUCAGUACACUUUGUUUAAGUUUUCAAAUUAUUUAAUAUCCAUUUUAGUUUAAUAUUAGUGAUUCUCAUUACUGUUCUUGCAUGCACUUUAUACCAGUAUAUCACUGAUAUAUUUCCUUUUUUUGAUAUUUUUCAGUUUGAAAGAUCACAGAUGAAACAACUUCCAUGAUUUGAACAACUUCUACAAACAUUAACUUUAAUUGUAAUGCAAAAUGGGAAUAUUUUGUAAUAUGGAAAUUUUUUGUCAAUGUAGACAUAUGGUGACAAAAUGUUUGUGAUGAAAAUGUCUUCUAUAGUAAAUCUAGUUGUUCCACAUAUCCAAGAAAUUGUGCGGUUGUGCACACUUUUUUGCAGUUGUGAAAACUCACAACUGCAAAACCUCUACCUUUAAGCCUGAAAAGCACAAUAGACAUGCUUACGGCUCUUUCUUAAUGGUUCUAUUUGGCUGCUGAAGCAUAAUUUAAGAGAGGUCAAAUACACAAUUUGUGCAUAUUUUCAGAAUUCAAAAAGUGAGAGUCAUGGACACAUAACCCUUAACUCUUUUGGGCAUUCAUAACUUCAGCUCCAACAUUUCCAUGGCAACUACAUAUCGAACAUCUCGGCAAAGGUUAGGCCAUCAAAGCUAAUGACUUAGCUUUAUGAUGUAUAAAACCUUUGCAAAGACAUAUAUGAAAUGUUUUUUGAAGCUUUUCAAGACUAAAUUGUAUAAAUGUAUAUUUAAACACAACAAAAACAUCUCACAUUACAGAUUAGAUGACAAACUGUACAUGUUCUAAAGCUUGGUUCACACUACCAAUUUUGUAGUUGAUUUUCUAUUCUUGAUGGAUGCAAAUGUGUGAACUUGCACACAAAACUAUAGAAUAUUUUAUUGCUAUUCAGAAAUAUAUAUUUCUUAGUCUAAGUAGGGCACAUUGUGGCUCAAUGGGUUAACCUAGAGACAUGGUCAGAUUUUUUGGUGAACCAUUGAGCUGCAGAGCUUCCCCAUUGAUGAGUAAAAUUGUCUGGUGUUAGAUAGUCUGGCAUAAUGGAAGUGAACAGUUUUGUUCAUGAUGUAUGAUUCCAAUAAAAACUUGCUUUCUGUUAAGAUAGUAAAUUAUUACAAAUGUUAACAGGUGACAGAUAUAUUCAUCAGUGGUAUGUCUGUUACAUCUGUACAUCCAAAAUGGUCAUAAAAUUUAUAUUUAUUCAACCUUCACCAUAUAUAAUAAUAUUAAUAUUACUAGGGGUGGAUCCAGCAUGAUCUGGUGGUGGGGUGCUCUGCCAGCUCUGGUGCCGAGUUGUGUCGGUGAUGUGUGCUGCCCACCCAUCAACUUGCUUCGCUACUGCAAAGUCUUGCUUGACUACUGUAUUUGAAUUGUAAUUGUUCACAGUUCGCUUAUCAUCAUGUUAUUACUCAAAUUACUGUAUCUCAUUUUGUCUCUAAUAAUUUUUUGUUUUAUCAUGAAAUAUAGCAGAACCCCCUGCACCCCCUCUGGCCAGGGCUAGGGGGUGCACCCCGUCUGGCCAGGGCUAGGGGGUGCACCCCCCCCAGUAAAUCGACCCUGAAUAUUAAUAACAACAUGGAUACAAUACAUACAUUACAUUAUAAAUAUAUAAUACUACUGUAUACUAAUGACAAUUGCUGUGAAAGCACCACAACAGUUAAAACCAAUUACUGUGGGCCUUUUAACAACAAACGUCUAGAAACAGCAGUUAAUAACAUAGUUCAAACGUCGACAACCUUUAUAGUUUAAACACAGAUUUCCAUGUUCUUGCAUCCUCUGCAUCAAUGCAGGGCUUUCGAGUAAUAGUCUCCUAACAAUCUCUUAAAUGUAUUUGUACUUUUGUAAGAAUGUG
rnacentral:lncRNA from 1 species